GAGCCCGCUCCCGGCCCCGCGCCCCAGGACCCGCUGCUGGUUGCUGGGUUCCCGAAGCCCCCUCAGGAUUCCCUUGGCCAGGAUGGAACUGAAGGCUGAGGAGGAGGAGGUGGGUGGCGUCCAGCCGGUGAGCAUUCAGGCCUUCGCCAGCAGCUCCACGCUGCACGGCCUGGCCCACAUCUUCUCCUACGAGCGGCUGUCACUGAAACGGGCGCUCUGGGCCCUGUGUUUCCUGGGCUCACUGGCUUUGCUGCUGUGUGUGUGCACAGAGCGUGUGCAGUACUACUUCAACUACCACCACGUCACCAAGCUCGACGAGGUGGCUGCCUCCCAGCUCACCUUCCCCGCCGUCACGCUGUGCAACCUCAAUGAGUUCCGCUUUAGCCAAGUCUCCAAGAAUGACUUGUACCAUGCUGGAGAACUGCUGGCCCUGCUCAACAACAGGUAUGAGAUACCCGAUACACAGAUGGCAGAUGAAAAGCAGCUGGAGAUCCUGCAGGACAAGGCCAACUUCCGCAGUUUCAAGCCCAAGCCCUUCAACAUGCGCGAGUUCUACGACCGCGCGGGGCACGACAUUAGAGACAUGCUGCUCUCCUGCCAAUUCCGGGGGGAGGUCUGCAGCGCAGAAGACUUCAAGGUGGUCUUUACACGGUAUGGAAAGUGCUACACGUUCAACUCGGGCCGAGAUGGGCGUCCACGGCUGAAGACCAUGAAGGGUGGGACGGGCAAUGGGCUGGAGAUCAUGCUAGACAUCCAGCAGGACGAGUACCUGCCCGUAUGGGGGGAGACUGAUGAGACGUCCUUCGAAGCAGGCAUCAAAGUGCAGAUCCACAGUCAGGAUGAACCUCCCUUCAUCGACCAGCUGGGCUUUGGUGUGGCCCCAGGGUUCCAGACCUUUGUGGCCUGCCAGGAGCAGCGGCUCAUCUACCUGCCUCCACCCUGGGGCACCUGCAAAGCUGUUACCAUGGACUCGGAUUUCUUCGACUCCUACAGCAUUACUGCCUGCCGCAUUGACUGUGAGACCCGCUACCUAGUGGAAAACUGUAAUUGCCGCAUGGUGCACAUGCCAGGAGAUGCCCCAUACUGCACUCCAGAGCAGUACAAGGAGUGUGCAGAUCCUGCUCUGGACUUCCUGGUGGAGAAAGACCAGGAGUACUGUGUGUGUGAAAUGCCCUGCAAUCUGACCCGCUAUGGCAAGGAGCUGUCCAUGGUGAAGAUCCCCAGCAAAGCAUCAGCCAAGUACCUGGCCAAGAAAUUCAACAAGUCUGAGCAGUACAUAGGGGAGAACAUCCUGGUACUGGACAUUUUCUUUGAAGUCCUCAACUAUGAGACCAUUGAGCAGAAGAAGGCUUAUGAGAUUGCAGGUCUCCUGGGUGAGCUGCUGAUGGCACCUGUCCCCUUCCCAUGUCAUGGGCAUGGUGUGCACCGUACCACCCAAAGCAGGCUGCUCACCUCUGUCCCGUGAGCUCUUCUCCCCCAGACAUCCCCAGGGGCCUUUCCCUAAACUCUUUUGUUUUGGUGACAUUGGGGGCCAGAUGGGGCUGUUCAUCGGGGCUAGCAUCCUUACGGUGCUGGAGCUCUUUGACUACGCCUAUGAGGUCAUUAAGCACAAGCUGUGCAGAAGAGGAAAGUGCCAGAAGGACGCCAAAAGGAGCAGCGCAGACAAGGGUGUGGCCCUCAGCCUGGAUGACGUCAAAAGACACAACCCGUGUGAGAGCCUCCGGGGCCAUCCUGCCGGGAUGACGUAUGCUGCCAACAUCCUACCUCACCAUCCGGCCCGAGGCACUUUUGAGGACUUUACCUGCUAAGCCCUGCAGGCCACUGUACCAAAGGCCUAGAUGGGGAGGGCUAGGAGAGCAAGGGGGCCCCCAAUUGCCCUCUAACUUCUGCCCUGGGGUCCUACUCCCGCCUCCCAAGGCAGUGCCCCUCUCCUGGGCAGUCCUUUCCUCUUGUCUGUGGUGAGGAAGGAGUCUUGACCGUAGAAUCCUCUCCCUAUCUCUAUCCCAUUCUUUUUAUUUUUAACAAAACUAAUCAAAAACAAACAAAAAAACUAAAAAGAGAGAACUGGGCAAAUGACCUCAGGCUGCCCCUCUCUGCUCCAUGCUGCCUCCCCCAGCUCCCAGCCUGAAUUCUAUCUAUCCGGCUGUCUGUUAUCUGAAUGUCCACCUACAUUCUGUUGCCACCAGUCACCUAAGCCCUCUCUUAGUGGGGGGUGAGGAGAUCCUCCAGGUCUGGAAUUUGGCCCCAAACCAGAGGAUAUACCUUGAAGGGGAGGGAUAGUGGUGGUGGUGAGGCCUUCCUCAGCCUUAAGAGACCCUCUCAGCCCAGUGACCACCCCACCCAACCCCAAGUCUCCAGGCAGGAACUAAGACCCUAGUACCCCACCACCACCACACACAUAUACCAUGUGAAGUCACUAGGGAGGUGUGGGGGUGGGGAUCCCCUGAAGAAAUGGAGAUGGCAACAAGAUGUGGCCCUGGUGCUGUAGGCCACAUCCUGAUAUCUACAGGUUCACCCCCUCCCAGAGCUGCUGGAGAGAAAUCCCAAGAGGCAACCCUCCUUUACCAUCCCAUAAAAGAUCCAGCUGGUUGGCUUCCAGCUCAGGGAGAGGGGCACUGGUGCCUGACCUCACUGGUCCCUCUCCCAGAGGCCCAUGCAGAGGGCCACAUCCAUAAAUUUUCUUAUGGAACUGUCUCAAGUCCUCUUCCCCAACUUCAUUUGCUUCUCUCAACAACCUCAUCUGCAUUUUCUAUUUCUAUACGAUACAGACUCUAUAUUGCUAUAUCUCUGUAUAUACUUUCCCCUAACUCUGUCUGUCUCUACCGCAUCCCCUCUUGUCUCUAAGAACCAUCCUCCUACCCCAAGUUCCCCUUCCUGUGUUUCUGCUCCCUCCCUGGUCUCUGAAUGCCUUCGCCUGUAUAAAGAAUUGGACUCUCUCCCCUGGUGUCUGUACUGUGUACACACAUCCCUCUGAGAAGCACAAGGAGACGACACGCGCAUUGUAACCUUCGCACUGUCUCGGUGGCGACAUAAAGGAAGCUGUGAAUCACAAGCUCUGCCUCUUUCUGGCCUCACCCUCUCCUCCCAUCCUGGGCACCCUCUGCCCUCCCUGCAGCCUUAAUAUCCCCUCCCCUGCUCGACCCACCCCAAAGCCCUUUGUCUGGCUGACUGUGGCCUCCCCAAGUAAGGGAUUGCUACAGAGAGGGCCCUCACCCAAGGGAUGGAGAUCUGCUCUGUACAAUAAGCCAAAGGCAUCAGAGACAGAGAAAGCUGUGGAUCAGUGACUCCUGCAGGGUGCUGACAGGCAGAAGCUGAGGUUCUCAGUCAGUGGCCUUUCCCUCUCUCUGGGUGCCCAGCCUCCUUUCCUCGCCUGGUACGCAAGCCCAUCACUUAUUUUCUGGUGAGUUACGGUUUGAUAAUGGGAGGAAAGAGACCUAGAGGAGAAGUCGAAAGCUCUGCUGUUUCGUCCCUCCCUUCCUACCUUAAAGAGAAAUGAGUGAGGUAGAGGGCCUGCCAUACCCUCUCCUUCUAGGCCGGAGCCCUGCCCCUUCCCAGGCCUUCUCUGCCCAGCUGUCUUUUGGUCUCUAACCCUAGAACGGGACCUGUAGCAGAUAACCUGUGCAUUAGCCUGGAUCUGGAAAGUGAGGCUAUAGGAUCUCUGGGAACUCUUAGCUCUCGGGAGUUCCUUAGAAAGCAGACCUCUCCAGAAGGAAGCAGAAGCCAGGCCAAGGGGUGUGCACCAGAUGGAGAACAGCAGGCAGGGCUAUGGGUGACGCAUGCCUCUGGUCUAAUAAAAUGGGUUUCAACCAUCUCCUCUUCA